rnacentral:lncRNA from 10 species
GUUGUGGAAAAGAUGCUUGUCUGUGGCCACAUAGCACGGGAAUGCAGAAGCAGGAUUAGAACUCACUUUUCCUAUUUGCCCUCUUGCACUUUCUAGGUGAAGAUGGCAAUGACGGCUGCAGUCCAAGCCCUAGUGGGCAGAUGAGGAGCAGCCCCUCUCCUUAAAAAUAAAGCCGGAUUCCUAACAUUCUCUUCAACCCACGGCUGUGCAGGGCAGAGUCUCAACACAGGAAUUGGAACAUAACAAAUCUGCCGACUGCCAGCUUUGAUCUCACAAGGAUGGAGUUGGGGAGGUGAAGAGAAAGUAAAUGCUCUCUCGACUUUCCAAAGGAAAACAAUUUUCUUUCUUGGUAACUGCAAUUACUUGAAAACCAUGUCAAAACAAUAAUGUGCCUCCAAUAGUCUCCCACUCUCUCUCUCUCUCUCUCUCUCUCUCUCUCUCUCCCCCCUCUCCUCCUCCUCCCUGCUUCCUCUACCUUCUUCUCUUCCUUCUGCCUCCUUCGUUUUGCCCUGGUAAUAAGGACCAUGGACAGAGACACAUAAGCUCCGCCCACACGCCCUUAGCUGACCUAUGCUGGGAAAGAAGGGCAGUGGUCGAUCAAUACCCAAGAUCAAGUGAGCUUAGCUCCUCACGUGAGUAUUUCAGAAGGCAUUGCUUUUUGGUUGCAUUUCCUUGUAAGUUGGCGAGCUGCAUACUGAUGGACAUUCUUGAGAAGCUUGGAGGGCACUCAUCUCUCAGGGAUGCCCUAGAAAGGUUGUCUGCACUAGUGAGAUUUGCUGCUCAUUCCAAUUAAGGUCCUUCUAACUCCAAACCUCUUUGAAUAAUAAAUAGAUAAUGAGACUGAGAAAAAUAAAGAAUAUGUCAUUAACAAAGCCGCAGACCACAGUUCAUUGGCAAUGUUGGGGCCAGUUAGCUCUAUGAUUGCUUGGACAACUGUGUCUGUACCUAAAACACCCAGUUUUAGGUCAUAUUCCCACUGUCUGAUCACUGAACAGUCUGGGUGAGAGGUCACCAGAUUCCAGCUCACAUAGCUAAAUAAGACCUUUUUGUAGGUUCUCUUCACUCUCAUUUAAUUACAGAAACAAUUGUUUGAACAGAUUAAUAUAUCAAUUUAGCAGAAGAAUAACUGUACAAAUGCAAAGCCCUUCCCAGGCCAGGAUAAUAAGAAUGCAGCUCUCACCUCUGCCUUAAUCAAUCUUGUCUUAUUUUAAGCUCACAUUUGUGAUCUAUUUGGGGUUCAUGUCUCUGUUAUUCAUGUCUUUAGAAAUCUUGUCUUGCGGAUGUGAUGGGCAGUAACCAAAAUAGUAUCUACCCGAUGAGACUCUCAGAUCCUCGAGGGCAGAGUAUUUACCUCACUUGCCUGUAUACUGUCAAACACUUAGUAAUUGUUCAGAAAAUAUAGAAUGGAUACAUUAAUAACGAAUGAAUGUUAAAAAGGAAGUUGAAUUUAAGCCUAGUGAGGGUAACACUUUAUGUCUUUUUUUUUCCUGUUGAAAACCCAACAUCUAGAACAAUGCUCAGUACAUAGAUGAUGAUCACUAACUACUUGUUUAUUGUAUGUGUGAGUGUGGAAUGAGUGAAUAAGAGAACAAAGGCUCUUUUCUUUGCUAACUCUGGAAGUUAGAGAAAGUAAUUUAUUCAUUUUUUAAUAGAUGAGGAAAUGAAGUCUCAGAAGAAUCAAUUUAUGAGAAGUCGCUUGGUGAAGUGUAGAAUGAUAUACAAAUACAUAUCCAUUAUUAAUUGACACAAUAAUGCUGUGAAACCACCACACACUUCAGCAGUGUAUGGUAAUAAAUAUUUAUGGCUCAGGUAAGCUGGGCUAGGCUGGAUGGUUCUUCUGGUCUCAGCUGGACUUUCCCUUUCUGAGCCUCACUUUACUCAUCUGUAAAAUGGGCAUGACAGUUGCAGAGCCCAUUUUGUGAAGAUUAAAUAAGGCAAUCUAGGACAUGGGCUUAGUCUUUAUGUCCUCAAAUACUGAGGGCUGGCCAGGACUUGAGGGACAUAAUGGAGACAAAAAUAGACACGAUUCUUAUUUCUGUUGGAAGCAGGAUGGUGGGGGUGAGGGUAUAGAUAGACAUCAUACAAAGAAAGGUGGAACUGAGCUGUAAUUGCUGCAGUGGAGGGAGGGUGCAUGUUGUUCUCUGACAGUUUCCAGUGAUAAAUUUAACCUCAUAAGGGAAGUCAGAGAAUUCUUUCCUGAAGUGUCACUCUUAGGCUGACAUCUGAAGAAGUGACACCUAGUAGGCACUCAAUAAACGUUAAUUACCAUCAUUAUCCCUUUCUUCCUCACCACCAGAGGCCAACUUAUGAGCAGGAAAGGGCAGGAUUUAGCAUUUGAGCACCAGCUAUAUGGCAGGCAAUUUUCACAUUAUUAUCUCAUUUAACCAUCACAACAGUCCCCCGGGAAGUAGGUAGGAUUGUUAUUCUUAGCUGACACACUAAGUCUCAGAUAGGUUCAAGCAUUUUUAGAGGAACUGACAACACUGGGGUUAAAAUCCAGGUCUUUGGGACUCCAAAGUUCUCUUCCCCUGUAGACACAGCAUGCAGUUUACACCUUCGUGGUGUGCCUGAUGGACAGUGGGAGCCUCCACUGAAUCUCAGAACACUAUCUGCAAACUCCUGUCUUUCCAAAGGUUGAGCACUGCCUGGAAUGUCACCAUUAGCUUGCCAGCUCUUUGGUCCUCUUUUUGGUAGGGUCCAUUUUUUGCCUAUUUUAUGACAGCCAAGAAAAUAAAGCAGUUUCCCAUGAGUGGAGACACAUUUAAGAUCUUAAGCAAAGGAAGACCUGAAUUUUGAGAAAGAAGAGAAAUUUGGGAGGAGAUACAGUAAAAGGCAAAAUGAAGAAGAUACACAGACCCCUCCCUCUCCCCCAGAAGAUUAGAGAGUCCUGGGGACCAUUUAAUUCAACCCAGUCAUUUAACGACUGAGAAACCUGAGGCUCAGAGAGGGUUAGGUAUUUGCCCAAAGGCAAACAGCAUAGGACGUACAGAGUUAGGGACUUAUUCCAGAAAUUCUUAACUGCUUUUGUGCUUUUUUUCCCCUCUGCAAACUCCCUCCAGUUUGGGGGGUGGCUUAAAAUCUCCUCAAGGAAGGCAGCAGAUUUAUGGGUUAAUAAACAUUUACAAUGAGCUCCUGAAAAAACAGACUCAGGUAGACAGGAAUUAUUCAUUCAAAUUAACUAUAAAUUAAGAUCAACCUAAUUUAGGCCUAUUAAAAUGGAAAGCAUAUUAUCUCUCAUUCAAAGGAAUUUGUAUUUGAUGCAAAUAGAACAAGUUCCUAAACUUUAGAAAUGUUCUUGGAUUUUUCAUCUCCGUAGUUAACCAACGAAGAAUGGGUCCCCCAUUUAAAAACAGGGGAACAUAAGGAACAAUAAUUAGUUAUGUAAAUAAUGUGGCAUUCUUGUUUAUAAUUAGUUCAAGAAUAAAAUAAAAUUCACGCAUGUCACAGGACUAAUUUUCGUAUGCAAAUGAACAAUCAAAAUUAUAAAUGGUAAUAAUGCAGUUUGGGAGAUGUGACAUUCUCAAUUUAUUAGCAGGGGUGCCAGUUACAGCUGAUGAUGGCUGACGUUGGGAGAUUUCAAAGGUGCCUGGGUCUGGAAAAUUCUCACCCAUCAAGAGGAGAAAAUCUAACUAAAAUAUUUUCACCCAUUUUAUGUCACUGAUGGCUGCAAAGUGAACCCAGGGCGCCUCUGUGGCUGGAGAGACAGGUGCUGCACCAGGGAGACAGGAGUCCAAGUGAAUUUUUGAAAAGAACGCUCUGAAAUUUGGCUGGUGAAAAAAGCAAAGACCAGGCAUUGCAACCUGGGCUCUGACCUCAACAACGUGUGUCACCUUGGGCAGGCCCCCUUUGCUGCCUCCUAAUUUCCCCAUCUAGGGUGGAAGUUUUAUUAAAGAGGAGGAGGGAGUUUUGAAAUCAAACUGACUUGGAAUCUUGGUUCUACCACUUGCUAACUGCAGGGCUUUCCUUAACCUUUCUACCUUACCUAUCUGGACUCAUGUAGCCUCAUCUGGUAAGUGACAGCGAUAUUCUAUAUCUUUAGGCAGUGCCAAAUUACCUUAAAGAAGGGCUAAGCACAUGUUUGGGGCACUAGAAAAGUAGAGUACCAGGGGAAGAAAAAGUGUGAGAUAAUCAGGAGGUCUAGAAUCAAAAGCUGCUUAAAUUUUGGCAUUAUGAGAGCGUCGUGUCAUUCUGAAAAAUAAUUUAAAAGUACUUAAUAUAUUUAAUUGAAAAUUAUAUAUGGAAUGUAUGGGUGUGCAUUAUAUAUAGAAUAUGCUUUGCUCCUUGGAAUGCUGUGAGAUUGAAUGCAAUUAUACAUAUAAAAUAAUUAACACAGUGCCUAGAAGUUGGAAGAACUCUGUAAAUAGUUGUAGCAGCUACUGUUGGUAAAUGAGUAAGCUACAUUCCAAAAUAUCUGCAGUCCUUUUUUAAGCCCCAGUGUUCUAGGAUUCUGCCUGGAGGGAGGAUGCUUAAUUUCAGAUAAUAGCUGCAUCAGGACCAACAUGGGCCAAUGGGGAUUUCCAAAGAAGGAUGGUCCAAAGCACGCUGGGAAAGUUGGCAGGAUUUGCCCUAAGCAUCACUGAAGUUGAUGAUAUGAUGAGACACAGCUCAUCUGGUCUCAAACUAUCUCCCCCAGCAGUCAUGGUACCCAACAUUUUGCAACUAGAAAGAAGCCCAUAUCUGCUAACUCACCAAGACUAGAAACCAUUCUUGAUGUCACUAUGAUGUACAUCAUUUUACCUAAGAUUUACUUAUCUACCUAUAUCCAUCCAUCCAUCCAUCCAUACAUCCAUCCAUCCAUCCAUCCAUCCAUCCAACAUCAGGAACCUUCUGAAGGCUAACUGCACCAUAUGGUGGAUAUGAUGGAUAGAUUUUAGUCCUCUUUCGUUGUUGGCACUCCAAAUUUGGGAUGGGAAUUGUCAUUGAGCAGCUAUUCUGUGCUAUCUAGACGCUUUAGACACAUUAUCCCACUUAAUCCUAAUGACGGCACUAAGAGCUAUAGAUAACAAUGUUUAUAAGGUAAUAAUAGCUACGAUUUAUUGAGUGUUACUAUGUACUGGCCACUGUGCUUAGCCUUUUAUAUGAGAUAUCACAUUUAAUGUCCCCAACAGUUUUGAGAAGAACUCUUAUUUCUUUGAUUUACCAUUAUUGCCCAGCUUCAGAAAGGUUAAGUGACUAGCCCAAGGUCACACGGCACAUUAGAGGUCAAAGCAAGCCUCUUUCCCUGGUCUUUGUAAUUCCAGGUUGGUCACUGUCUGCUUCACUGUGCCUCUAGCUAACUGAUUUUCUCUUGGAGGGAGGCAUGCGGGCUCCCAACCUCACUAGACAAUCAUGGGAGGAGGAAAGACAAGGGCUUUCUCACAGAGUUAACUCUCCACUCCUUGCCCCCUGGGGAAGGGCACCCCCUCCUGAGCAUCCUGACAGGUCAGCCUGCACUCAAAGUAGCCUUUCGGGGGGCCCUUGAUGGCUCCCAGAUGGGAACGCACACAGCUGUCAGGUGCUUCCGAGAGUCUCUGGAUCCUAAGAGCACUGGCGGUGUGCCUGUAGGAUUAAUUGCUUCUCUGGCUUCCAGCAGGGAAGCGGGGUGUGGUAACAUCUUGGCUUGGUUAAGGAUGAAGGGGCAGGCACACAGGUGGCAGAGAGCAUGCCUCUGUAGCACAGGAUCAGAGGAAACUAUGUGGCUGAGAACAGCUCCUGGUAGGUAGGGAAGCCCAUGAGGACCUCACUUCCCCUAGAAGGAAGAUGUCAGAAGCUGAUGUCCUUUCCCCCUGUGCAGUUCUAAAAUUAUGUAACUGGAAGAGGUGCCACAGGAAAACCUGUUUCUAUCAUCCUUAUUCGUUCUGUGUGGUCUUCCUCCUUGUCUUUCUUACAAUUCUUCUUCCACAGUUAAUUUUUUUCAGGCACCUUCUAUAUCUCAUGCUCUGGAAAUACCAAGAUGAACCAUGCAGACCCUGACCCCAUGGAGUUGAGAGUCUGGUGGUGGAAGACAGACAUCAUCAAACGCUGGCACAAAUAAAGGCACAUUUAUUUACUUGAGGGGUUACAUGUUAAGUCACGGAGGCACAGAUUCUAGAGGAGCCAGUAGCAGGGCCUGAGCUUGGUCCAGGGUUGGCCAGGAAGCUCUUUCCUGCAGAAGUAAUGCUUGCACUCAGGACCAAAAGAUGACCAGGUGAAGAGUCACCUCACUCCUUGAAACCUCAGUUUCCUUCUUUGUAAAGUGGGAUGAUAGUAACACCUACAUUCCAGGAUAUUUGUGAGGAUAAACUGAGAUGACACAGGUGAAAAUGAGUAGUACGGAGUCUGGUACAUAGUCAGUGCCCAUCGUAUCAUGGCUUUGGCCAUAGUCCCUCGAUGUGAAGUGAAGUUCCCAUAGAUUGGAAGGCCUAUCGUUGACUUAGAAACUGCUGCCCAAGGGACAAAGAAGAAUGCAAGCCCACUAUGUGAAAUGGAAGCACACAGAAAAGGAAGGGCCUCACUCUGCUCUCUCUCUUCUGUGUGUGUGUGUGUGUGUGUGUGUGUGUGUGUGUGUGUGUGUAUGAUGAGAAGUUUGCACAGAGAAGCUGGUGUUUAGGCCAGGUCCUGAAUGGUAGAUAGCAGUUUACAAGAGAAAAGGGGGAGGAAGGGUGUCAGAGAUAAAAGGAACAUCAAUGCAAAGUGAUACAAGGAUGAGAAUGAGUGUCAUCCGCCUUGUCAGAUGCCUGGGGAAAUUCCAAUGGGCACAUGGAACAGAUCCCCAAACAAAACAACCUUUAAUAACACAAUACUAUUACUCCUAAUGGCAAUAACGGCAAAAGCAAUAAUCACAAUGACCACAAUAGCAACAGCCGUUACCAUGCAUUGACAGGUUACUCUCUUUCAGGCACUGUACAUGGGUAACUUCACCUGAAAUGCUGAAAAUAAAUCUUGCUCAUUCUUUCCUGGGAUAUAGUGAAUGACUUCAUGCCCUACAUUGUAUGGGCUACCCACAUAGGUGAGGAAUUGAGGAUACAGCCAUGGAGGAUUUUUCUGUUAAACCUCAGAAGGGAUGCUCUCAAUUUCUGCAAGGCUCUCCUGGGCAACAUGAACGGUCCAGACAAGUUCAUUCAUUUUUUUGUUUUUCUGGAGGGUUAAAUGGGGGAUAGAGUAUUCAGGAGGUAGGUUUAGCUCAGUCCAAGGAUGGCUACAAAGAGCUGUGGUAGGUAGUGCUCUGACAAAGAGUUCCCUGUCGUGGGGAUAUUCAAGUGUAACUCAGUUAAUUUCUUGUUGGGGAUGUUCUGAGCAUGGUCAGAACAAAGAGAAAGGGAAAUUCAGGGGGAAUUGGUCUAGAAGAUCCCUUCAAUUCCAGGAUGCUGUGGUUUCAGGAAGGCAGGAAUGAUCUACCAUGAAAGGUUUUUACAACAGUAGGAAACAUCAUCAUCUUGGCUUUGCCUGUCUCCAGGAGGCUUGAAUGUGAUUUGCAUAACCACAGGGGGAUGGAUGUCUUGAUCUUUCACAGUUUUUUUCCAGCCCUUAGAAUCAUUCUGGUCUUUGCUUGCAACCUCCUUUAGAACCAUAUCCUGAGCCACCUCCAUCCUUCUCCCAAAUUAUUGUAACAACUUCUGAGUAGGUCCCCUAGCACUCUAUAAUCUACCCUCCACACAGAAGCAAAAGCUAUCAUAUAAAAUAAAAAUCGGAUAUAUUUUCCCCCUACAGUUGUAACUUAUGACCAUAGCCGUCCCCAACCCAACUGGUUCUCCCAUUCCACCUCCCCUCACCUAAUGUGCACAAACCACUCUCCCUUCUUUUCUGACUCACAAACAUUCAGGGCUUUUGCCUUUCCUCUGUCUGAGCCCUCUUCCCCUAGGACUUUGCAAGGCCAGUUUUUUUCUCAUCGUUAAAUUCCCAGCUCAACUGUCACCCCAGACAGGGCUCUCUGACCAGUCUCCAGUCACUCCAUCCGGACGACCCUUUUAAUUUUCCUUUCAGCAUUUAUCUAGCUGGGCCUGGUGAUGUGUGUCUGUAGUUUCAGCCACUCGGGAGGCUGAGGAAGGAGGAUUGCUGGAGCCCAGGAGUUCAAGGCUGCAGUGAGCUGUGAUCAUCACUUUGCUCCAGUCUGGAUGACAGAGCGAGACCCUGUCUCUAAAACAUAAAUAAAUAGGCCAGGUUUGGUGGCUCAUGCCUGUAAUCCCAGCACUUUUGGAGGCUGAAGCCAGUGGAUUGUUUGAGCCCAGGAAUUUGAGACCAGCCUGGACAACAGGUGAAACCCUGUUUCUAGGAAAAGCAAAAAUUAGCCAGGCAUAGUGGUACAUACCUGUGGUCCCAGAUACUCAGGAGGCUGAUGUGAAAGGACCACCUGAGCCUGGGAAGUUGAGGCUGCAGUGAGCUGAGACUGCUCCACUGAACUCUAGCCUGGGCGGCAGAGUGAGACCCUGUCUCUAAAUACAUAAAUAAAAUAAGUAAAGCACUUUUCAGUAUCUUUCUGGAAUUCUUAUCUAUUUGUUAACAUAUGUAUGGUCUUUUUCUGCUGCUGAGAGGUGAAGCCAGCUGGACUUCCUGGCUCGAGUAGGGACUUGGAGAACUUUUCUGUCUAGUUAGAGGUUUGUAAAUGCACCAAUCAGCGCUUUGUGUCUAGCCAAAGGAUUGUAAAUGCACCAAUCAGCAACUCUGUAAAAUGGACCAAUCAGCACUCUGUAAAAUGGACCAAUCAGCACUCUGUAAAAUUGACCAAUCAGCAGGAUGUGGGAGGGGACAAAUAAGGAAAUAAAAGCUGACCACCCCAGCCAGCGGGGGCGACGUGGUGGGGUCCAUUUGUAGGUUGUGGAGGAUUUGAUCUUUUGCUCUUGGAAAUAAAUCUUGCUGCUGCGCGCGCUCUCUCUCUGGGUGCAUGCUGCUUUUAAGAGCUGUGAUACUCACCAGGAAGGUCCGUGGUUUCAUUCUGGAAGUCAGCGAGACCAAGAACCCACCAGAAGGAACCAACUACAGACACACUGCUAUAUGUAAGCUUCUUGGGAGCAGGGUCUUGGUUUUUUUUCUUUCUUUCCUUCUUUUCUUCUUAACUUUCCCCCUUCCCCUUCCCUUUCGCCUUUCCUUCCUUUCCUUCCUUUUUUUUUUGAGACGUAGUCUUGCUCUGUUGCCCAGGCUGGAGCCCAGUGGCACAAUCUCCCCUCAUUGCAACCUUUGCCUCCAGAGUUCAAGUAGUUCUCCUGCCUCUGCCUCCCGAGUAGGUGGGAUUACAGGUGCCUGCCACCACACCUGGGUCCAGCUAUGUACAAACUGAAUCAAGAUUCUAUGUACAUCAGAAUCAAGAGAGAGUGAGUUCUUGACAUCACGGAGCGGUCUACAUUCUAGUUCAUGCGGUGGACCUGCUGGGUGGCCUCAGGACCUGAAAUAAAACCAUACGUUGGCUCUCCUGAGUCUCCACCUUCUUGACUGCAGAUUUGGGACUUCUCAGCCUCCAUAAAUAUGUGAGCCAACUCCUUAUAAUAAAUCUCUUUCUAUGUGUGUAUGCGUGUAUAAGUAUAAGGUUGGAAAUAUAUUGGUCUGCUUCUGUGGCAAACCCUGACUAAUUCAAAUAUCCAGGAGUGGAAUGACUGUAUCAUAUGGUAGGUGUGUGUUUAAAUUUCUGGAAGUGGUUCAACUCUUUUCCAAAGUUGUUGUUCCAUUUACGUUCCCACCAACAGUGUAUUAGAGUUCCCCUUGCUCCAUGUCUUUACCAACACUUAGUAUGAUCAGUUUUGUUUUUAAAGUUCAGUCAUUUUCGUAAGUGUGCAGUGGCAUAUUAUUGUGAUAUUAAUUGUAUUUCCCUAAUGACUAAGGAUGUUGACUAUCUUUUCAAGUGUCCAAAGAAGAUAUAGUAAAUAGCAAAUAAGCACAUGAAAAAAUAUAUGAAUGAACACGAGUGGUCAUUCAACUCCUAGAUAUUUG